AGCCCCGCCCCUCCCGGCUCAGCCCCGCCCCUUGCUCCUCUAUUACCAGCUCUCCUGUCAGAAAUGUUAAAGUGUACGCUGUCCCCGUCAAAUAAAUACAUCAGUACAGAUGGGCAGGGCUCUGAAUAGCGGAAAUCAGUGUGUAUCGUACACACCCUGCACUGUGAUAGUCUAUAUUAAUGGGCAGGGCUCCUCUCAGUAGAUAUUCUAGAGGUCUUGUAUUGUGUAUAGAUGGGCAGGGCUCCCCUCAGUAGAUAUUCUAGAGGUCUUGUAUUGUGUAUAGAUGGGCAGGGCUCCUCUCAGUAGAUAUUCUAGAGGUCUUGUAUUUUGUACAGAUGGGCAGGGCUCCUCUCACUAGAUAUUCUAGAGGUCUUGUAUUGUGUACAGAUGGGCAGGGCUCCUCUCACUAGAUAUUCUAGAGGUCUUGUAUUGUGUACAGAUGGGCAGGGCUCCUCUCACUAGAUAUUCUAGAGGUCUUGUAUUGUGUACAGAUGGGCAGGGCUCCUCUCAGUAGAUAUUCUAGAGGUCUUGUAUUGUGUAUAGAUGGGCAGGGCUCCUCUCAGUAGAUAUUCUAGAGGUCUUGUAUUUUGUACAGAUGGGCAGGGCUCCUCUCACUAGAUAUUCUAGAGGUCUUGUAUUGUGUAUAGAUGGGCAGGGCUCCUCUCAGUAGAUAUUCUAGAGGUCUUGUAUUUUGUACAGAUGGGCAGGGCUCCUCUCAGUAGAUAUUCUAGAGGUCUUGUAUUGUGUACAGAUGGGCAGGGCUCCUCUCAGUAGAUAUUCUAGAGGUCUUGUAUUGUGUACAGAUGGGCAGGGCUCCUCUCAGUAGAUAUUCUAGAGGUCUUGUAUUGUGUACAGAUGGGCAGGGCUCCUCUCACUAGAUAUUCUAGAGGUCUUGUAUUGUGUACAGAUGGGCAGGGCUCCUCUCAGUAGAUAGCUCGCUCACUUGUCUGAUUGAAUGCAACGUUUAUUCUGCAGUAUAUACAGUUCUAUUAAAACUUUGUAUACAAUAUUUACACAUGAAAUAAAUCAAGGACCCUCCCCCCUUCCAAUUUCUUUAAUUCAAACU